rnacentral:rRNA from 1 species
AUUGAAAGCUGGCGGCAGGCUGAACACAUGCAAGUCGAAAGAGUGGCGGACGGGGGAGUAAUGCUUGGGAAUCUGGCUUAUGGAGGGGGAUAAAGACGGGAAACUGUCGCUCAUACCGCGUACCAUAGGAUGAGCCCAAGUGGGAUUAGGUAGUUGGGGGGGUAAAGGCCUACCAAGCCGACGAUCUCUAGCUGGUCUGAGAGGAUGACCAGCCACACCGGGACUGAGACACGGCCCAGACUCCUACGGUAGGCAGCAGUGGGGAAUAUUGCGCAAUGGGGGCAACCUGACGCAGCCAUGCCGCGUGAAUGAAGAAGGCCUUCGGGUUGUAAAGUUCUUUCGGUGACGAGGCGUUAAUCACAGAAGAAGCACCGGCUAACUCCGUGCCAGCAGCCGCGGUAAUUC